GAUGAACGCUGGCGGCGUGCCUAAUACAUGCAAGUCGAGCGAACAGACGAGGAGCUUGCUCCUCUGACGUUAGCGGCGGACGGGUGAGUAACACGUGGAUAACCUACCUAUAAGACUGGGAUAACUUCGGGAAACCGGAGCUACUACCGGAUAAUAUAUUGAACCGCAUGGUUCAAUAGUGAAAGACGGUUUUGCUGUCACUUAUAGAUGGAUCCGCGCCGCAUUAGCUAGUUGGUAAGGUAACGGCUUACCAAGGCAACGAUGCGUAGCCGACCUGAGAGGGUGGUCGGCCACACUGGAACUGAGACACAGUACAGACUCCUACGGGAGGCAGCAGUAGGGAAUCUUCCGCAAUGGGCGAAAGCCUAACGGAGCAACGCCGCGUGAGUGAUGAAGGUCUUCGGAUCGUAAAACUAUGUUAUUAGGGGAGAACAAAAGUGUAAGUAACUAUGCACGUCUUGACGGUACCUAGUCAGAAAGCCACGGCUAACUACGUG
rnacentral:rRNA from 1 species